rnacentral:rRNA from 1 species
ACGCCGGCGGUGUGCCUAAUACAUGCAAGUCGAACGCGUUGGCCCAACUGAUUGAACGUGCUUGCACGGACUUGACGUUGGUUUACCAGCGAGUGGCGGACGGGUGAGUAACACGUAGGUAACCUGCCCCAAAGCGGGGGAUAACAUUUGGAAACAGAUGCUAAUACCGCAUAACAAUUUGAAUCGAAUGAUUCAAAUUUAAAAGAUGGCUUCGGCUAUCACUUUGGGAUGGACCUGCGGCGCAUUAGCUUGUUGGUAGGGUAACGGCCUACCAAGGCUGUGAUGCGUAGCCGAGUUGAGAGACUGAUCGGCCACAAUGGAACUGAGACACGGUCCAUACUCCUACGGGAGGCAGCAGUAGGGAAUCUUCCACAAUGGGCGCAAGCCUGAUGGAGCAACACCGCGUGAGUGAAGAAGGGUUUCGGCUCGUAAAGCUCUGUUGUUAGAGAAGAACGUGCGUGAGAGCAACUGUUCACGCAGUGACGGUAUCUAACCAGAAAGUCACGGCUAACUACGUGCCAGCAGCCGCGGUAAUACGUAGGUGGCAAGCGUUAUCCGGAUUUAUUGGGCGUAAAGCGAGCGCAGGCGGUUUGAUAAGUCUGAUGUGAAAGCCUUUGGCUUAACCAAAGAAGUGCAUCGGAAACUGUCAGACUUGAGUGCAGAAGAGGACAGUGGAACUCCAUGUGUAGCGGUGGAAUGCGUAGAUAUAUGGAAGAACACCAGUGGCGAAGGCGGCUGUCUG